rnacentral:rRNA from 1 species
GCGAUGAAGGAUGACCGUAAGGACAUGUUGGAGCGUUAACUAGUGAGAAUUCCGGUAUGAGUAGCGAAAGAUAGGUGAGAAUCCUAUCCACCGAAUGAGUAAGGUUUCCCCCGGAAGGCUCGUCCGCGGGGGGUUAGUCGGGACCUAAGGCGAGGCUGAAAAGCGUAGUCGAUGGACAACAGGUUGAUAUUCCUGUACCGAUAUUUAAUUGCCGAAGGAAGGACGCAGAAGGAUAACACAGGCCACUAUUGGAUGUGGUUUUAAACAGUUAGUCUUCAUAAGAGUCAAAUGCUUUUAUGUUUAAGGAUAAGCUGUGAAUGUACCAAGUUUACUUGGAAAUUGUGUGAUUUCACGCUGCUGAAAAAAGUUUCGUAGGAAGAAAUUAUUGCCCGUACCGCAAACCGACACAGGUACUCGAGUGGAGAACACUAAGGUGAGCGAGUGAACUAUUGUUAAGGAACUCUGCAAAAUGAGUCCGUAACUUCGGAAGAAGGACUGCUGGUUUUAUACCAGCCGCAGCAAAUAGGCCCAAACAACUGUUUAUCAAAAACACAGGUUUCUGCAAAAUCGUAAGAUGAAGUAUAGGGCUGACGCCUGCCCAGUGCUGGAAGGUUAAAAGGAGGACUUAGCUUCGGCGAAGGUCUUAAUUGAAGCCCCAGUGAACGGCGGCCGUAACUAUAACGGUCCUAAGGUAGCGAAAUUCCUUGUCGGGUAAGUUCCGACCCGCAUGAAAGGCGUAAUGAUUUGGGCGCUGUCUCAACAAUAGACUCGGUGAAAUUUAAAUUCCAGUGAAGAUGCUGGGUACCCGCGACAGGACGGAAAGACCCCGUGGAGCUUUACUGUAGCUUGAUAUUGAAUGUUUGUGCUGCAUGUGCAGGAUAGGUAGGAGACUUUGAAGUCGGAACGCUAGUUUCGAUUGAGUCACCCUUGAGAUACUACCUCUGUUGUAUGAACGUUCUAACUCUGAUCAGUUAUCCUGAUCGAAGACAGUGUCUGGCAGGCAGUUUGACUGGGGCGGUCGCUCCUAAAAGAUAACGGAGGCGCUCAAAGGUUUGCUCAGAAUGGUUGGAAAUCAUUCGUAGCGUGUAAAGGCAUAAGCAAGCUUGACUGUGAGACUGACAAGUCGAGCAGGUACGAAAGUAGGACUUAGUGAUCCGGUGGUUCCGUAUGGAAGGGCCAUCGCUCAACGGACAAAAGCUACCCCGGGGAUAACAGGCUCAUCUCCCCAAGAGUCCACAUCGACGGGAGGUUUGGCACCUCGAUGUCGGCUCAUCGCAUCCUGGGGCUGUAGUCGGUCCCAAGGGUUGGGCUGUUCGCCCAUUAAAGCGGUACGCGAGCUGGGUUCAGAACGUCGUGAGACAGUUCGGUCCCUAUCCGUCGUGGGCGCAGGAAWUUGAGAGGAUCUGUCCUUAGUACGAGAGGACCGGGAUGGACAUACCUCUGGUGUACCAGUUGUUCUGCCAAGAGCACCGCUGGUAGCUACGUAUGGAUUAGAUAAUCGCUGAAAGCAUCUAAGUGAGAAACUAACCUCGAGAUGAGAUUUCCCAUUCGUCAGAAGUAAGACCCCUGAGAGACGAUCAGUAGAUAGGCUAGAAGUGGAAGUGUAGUGAUGCAUGGAGCGGACUAGUACUAAUAGGUCGAGGACUUAACCAAG